rnacentral:lncRNA from 1 species
GUAAAACUGAAGACAGCACAAGUUGCUUUUUUUGAGAAGAGCACUGGUUCUCUGAAGAUGAAUAAGACCUUAUUUCCCAUACAGAAGGGAAAAGUUAUUCCAGCUCUACUGGUGAGCUGCCUAGUGGAGAUGCAGCCUCUGCCUGUGAACAAGUUAUUUUGCUAAUAUUUCAAUUCUUCCUGAGCUUAGUAAGUUCUGCUGCAUAGCUGCAGCUUUAUUACUGCUGUUGACAAAUUGUCUGUCUGGAGUUAGUGGAGAAAACUUGUCAACAGCAUCAUUGUAUAGGUCAGGCUAUCAGAUAACUAUCCACCAAGUGACUCCUAUAACCCAGCACUGUUCCUGCCAGAGCACGUUGUUUGGACUCUGUGUGCAGUGCCGAAGCAGGUAGCACGAAUGUACCUUAUCAGUGAUCUGCAAUCUCUUUCUUCACAGGCUUCCCACAGCAUGCUUCCAAAAUAGGCUGUGUUAGAGCUUUUCUGCUGAGCUUCUGUUUCUUUCAGCAUCCAGGACCAUCGGACAUGAGUUGUUCCUCUUCAGGAAUGGAACAUCUGAGGGUGCAUCUGUGCUGUAACCACAUCAACACUCCAGCAUAGGGUAGAGACAUCUAAAUUAAUGUUAAGAAUCUCUGUCUAGACGUGCCAGCAUGGAGCUUUCCUCAAAGUCUGUCCCAAAAGCCAGGUGCUGGAAAGGAUCUUACCACAGGGCUACAUUGAACACUGCUCACCAGAAAAUGUUCCUAGAGAACUUAAGAGGGGCGUUUUUGAUCUGGGCCAUUGAGAUUUGUGGAUUCUGCAAUGAAGGUGAAAUUAAAAAAAAACAACAGUCUAAGCAACAGAUUAAAUUGCUCUGUGAAAUGCUGGCUCUUCCCUCUCCCACAAGGACUAGGGUUGAAUGGAAGAUAUGUCUGGGAGAAGAAACAUGUUGGAGAAACUGCACUAGUGUUUCAUACCCUUUAAGUUAAUCUACUGUCACCACACCAUAACUGAAUAUAGCCUGCUGUGCUCUGUUUUUAUUAGCAGAGUCCCUUCUUUUGCUUGUAUGAAUUAAUUUCAAAAUC